rnacentral:rRNA from 1 species
UGCGCAGCCUACCAUGCAAGUCGAGCGGAUGAAGGGAGCUUGCUCCCUGAUUUAGCGGCGGACGGGUGAGUAAUGCCUAGGAAUCUGCCUGGUAGUGGGGGAUAACGUUCCGAAAGGAACGCUAAUACCGCAUACGUCCUACGGGAGAAAGCAGGGGACCUUCGGGCCUUGCGCUAUCAGAUGAGCCUAGGUCGGAUUAGCUAGUUGGUGAGGUAAUGGCUCACCAAGGCGACGAUCCGUAACUGGUCUGAGAGGAUGAUCAGUCACACUGGAACUGAGACACGGUCCAGACUCCUACGGGAGGCAGCAGUGGGGAAUAUUGGACAAUGGGCGAAAGCCUGAUCCAGCCAUGCCGCGUGUGUGAAGAAGGUCUUCGGAUUGUAAAGCACUUUAAGUUGGGAGGAAGGGCAGUAAGCUAAUACCUUGCUGUUUUGACGUUACCGACAGAAUAAGCACCGGCUAACUUCGUGCCAGCAGCCGCGGUAAUACGAAGGGUGCAAGCGUUAAUCGGAAUUACUGGGCGUAAAGCGCGCGUAGGUGGUUCGUUAAGUUGGAUGUGAAAGCCCCGGGCUCAACCUGGGAACUGCAUCCAAAACUGGCGAGCUAGAGUACGGUAGAGGGUGGUGGAAUUUCCUGUGUAGCGGUGAAAUGCGUAGAUAUAGGAAGGAACACCAGUGGCGAAGGCGACCACCUGGACUGAUACUGACACUGAGGUGCGAAAGCGUGGGGAGCAAACAGGAUUAGAUACCCUGGUAGUCCACGCCGUAAACGAUGUCAACUAGC